rnacentral:rRNA from 1 species
CUGCUGCCUCCCGUAGGAGUCUGGUCCGUGUCUCAGUACCAGUGUGGGGGACCUUCCUCUCAGAACCCCUACGCAUCGUCGCCUUGGUGGGCCGUUACCCCGCCAACUAGCUGAUGCGACGCAUGACCAUCCGUAGCCGGAAUCGCUUCCUUUAAACCCGAGGAGAUGCCUCCUCGGGUUGUUACGCGGUAUUAGACGGAAUUUCUUCCGCUUACCUCC